AUACGUAGGGGGCAAGCGUUAUCCGGAUUUACUGGGUGUAAAGGGAGCGUAGACGGAAGGCCAAGUCUGAUGUGAAAGCCCGCGGCUCAACUGCGGGACUGCAUUGGAAACUGGUCAUCUGGAGUGCAGGAGGGGUAAGCGGAAUUCCUAGUGUAGCGGUGAAAUGGGUAGAUAUUAGGAGGAACACCGGUGGCGAAGGCGGCUUACUGGACUUUAACUGACGUUGAGGCUCGAAAGCGUGGGGAGAAAACAGGAUUAGAUCCCCUGGUAGUCCACGCCGUAAACGAUGAAUACUAGGUGUCGGGUUUCUACAGAGAUUCGGUGCCGCAGCAAACGCAAUAAGUAUUCCACCUGGGGAGUACGUUCGCAAGAAUGAAACUUAAAGGAAUUGACGGGG
rnacentral:rRNA from 1 species